rnacentral:rRNA from 1 species
AGUGAACGCUGGCGGUAGGCCUAACACGUGCAAGUCGAACGGCAGCACAGUAAGAGCUUGCUCUUACGGGUGGCGAGUGGCGGACGGGUGAGGAAUACAUCGGAAUCUACUUUUUCGUGGGGGAUAACGUAGGGAAACUUACGCUAAUACCUCAUACGACCUACGGGUGAAAGCAGGGGAUCUUCGGACCUUGCCCGAUUUAAUGAGCCGAUGUCGGAUUAGCUAGUUGGCGGGGUAAAGGCCCACCAAGGCGAGCAUCCGUAGCUGGUCUGAGAGGAUGAUCAGCCACACUGGAACUGAGACACGGUCCAGACUCCUACGGGAGGCAGCAGUGGGGAAUAUUGGACAAAGGGCGCAAGCCUGAUCCAGCCAUACCGCGUGGGUGAAGAAGGCCUUCGGGUUGUAAAGCCCUUUUGUUGGGAAAGAAAAGCAGCAGGUUAAUACCCCGCUGUUCUGACGGUACCCAAAGAAUAAGCACCGGCUAACUUCGUG